GCAGAGCUAGCUCCUGGUAAAGUGGAUGAGACUCAUAAUCUCAGGGUUGUGGGUUCGAGCCCCGUGUUGGGCA